rnacentral:lncRNA from 1 species
UGUCCAUAUAACAUGCUGGAAAAUAUCAUCUGGCUUGAAGUAAGCUUAAAGAACUUCCAGGCAUCUUAACAAAAGAGUCUUAUAUCCUGAGACAAAUGGAAUUUAUCCAGUUGUCUCCGAGUGUUUCUAGAACAUCAUCCUUUGCUGACCUAGGUGUGGAAGCAGGAGUGAGGCUGGGGAUGGUUGGCAUUUCCCAAAUCCCAGAUUCUGGCAGUGGCCCUUCUAAGUGGCCCCUUCUCAACCUCAGGGUCUGAGAAGCAGCUGAUGUAGGUGGCACUCAUCAUUCUCAACUGAGGACAAACUCCUGCCAGAUAUUCCACAGACCCUGCUCACAGUGUCUGGCACGUGAUGGGGACUUCAUAAAUACCUCUUGGGUUGGUGUGGAGUUUCAGGAGGGGAGGACGCAGAUGUCAUUAUUUUCAUGGAAUGUGGAGACAGAGAGAGAAUGCAAACAGCUCACCGGCUCCUUUUUGCUCCAUUGGCCAAUGGCUGGGUGAUUUUGAGUGAGUUCAUUUUUCCUCUCUGGCCCACAUUUCCAGAGAGGGUGACAUUACCUGCUUCUCUUUACAAAAGACCUGUUAUGAACACCUUCUGUAAUGGUGUAAACACAAAGGCCAUGACGUCAAACACACACUGAUAAAGAAAUCUUCCUUGCAUCAAUUACCUAGCUCCCUACCAGGCUUUCUGCAUACGGUGCCUUCGCAGAUACCCUGUGGGUCAUUACCACUCCAGUUGGAAGAUGAGGAAACUCUGAGAUCUUAUCAUUAAUUAUGUAAUUAUUCAGCACACAGAGAGAUCCUGACAUUUUGCUCAGUUUUCUGGGAGGUGGCAGGGGAUGAGUUGGGGAACUGUCCUAACAAUCUUGUUGGCUGACAGCAAUGCUCCCAAUUAAGUUUAGCUCAGGUUGUGCUGGGCAUAGCUGCACCCACCCAAAUUCACAGGAGGUUCCUGAAAAGUGGAACUCAUUCCCCCCAAACGCUUCGCACUACCCUCAUUCCUGGGAAAUGACCAGAAUGUUCUGGAAUGGACCCGCUUGGGAUGUCUGGAUUGAACUAAAGCAGCCCAUUUCGGUGCCAACUGGCCACAGGGUUUGGGCAACUCCAAUGACUUCAUCCUCUUUGCUGGCUUGAAGAAACAGAGAUAAUGAUACUUUCCCAAGGCUGGGGCUGGGUGCAUCUUAAUUUGUGAGUGUUUGUAAGUGGCUUUGAAGAUGGCAAAUGUUAUUUAACGCUAAGUAGUAUUAUUUAUUGUGGUUCCAAACGCUGUUUCUCCUCCCCAUUGUCAGGCUACAAAACAAUAAGGGAAAUGGUAAAAGGGCCUCUGAAGUAUCCAAACAUCCACAAAUUAGGUAACGUUGGCCUGAGCUCUGUGAUGGUAUCUGCAAACCUAGCAUUAGCUUCGAAGCAUUUUUGUGUGGGAGGCACUCGCCUAAUUUGCACUUAAGACAUGCCAGCAGCAGGCCCUGGCACAGGCUUGGCACACACGGGUGAUGCAAGUGCUCUGUGGACAGAACGCUUGGCUGUGUUCUCUUUGAGAUGCAAAUGAGGCGCUGGAGGAGCCCCUUGUCCUUUCAUGUCUCGCACUUAAUAGAAGGGAAUUAACAUUCAUUGAGUCCUCCUGUGUGCCAGACACUUUUAUGAACGUGAUCUCAUUUAUUCCCACAACAAUCCGGGGAACUAGGUCUGAAUGUUCCUAUUUUAUAGGUGAGGAAACUGAGGCUCAUGGAAGUGAAAUAAUUUGCCUGGAUCAUAUUAAAGGCUGAGCUACAACUGGCAUCCAGGACUGCCUGGCUGUAAAAGCCAUGCCCUUUUGUUAUAUUGAACUGUAGAAAACAUACCGUACUCCUCCUUCAUACCCUAAAUGCCUGGUCAAGUUGCCCCAAUUCCCUGCUAGAAUUUCUUCUGUGUCUUUCUUUUGCCUUUAGGCAACAGAUCAGUAUCCUACUGUAGCCUUGAGCAAUCUGGCUCUGGGUCCCUCUCCAGCUCCAUCCAACCCCAUCCUCCUUGAUUUCAGUGCUUUGAUCAUGCCACAACCUCACAUCUCUGAGCUUCUCCCAUAAACUGCC